rnacentral:rRNA from 1 species
AGAUUGAACGCUGGCGGCAGGCCUAACACAUGCAAGUCGAGCGGCAGCACGGGUACUUGUACCUGGUGGCGAGCGGCGGACGGGUGAGUAAUGCCUAGGAAUCUGCCUGGUAGUGGGGGAUAACGCUCGGAAACGGACGCUAAUACCGCAUACGUCCUACGGGAGAAAGCAGGGGACCUUCGGGCCUUGCGCUAUCAGAUGAGCCUAGGUCGGAUUAGCUAGUUGGUGAGGUAAUGGCUCACCAAGGCGACGAUCCGUAACUGGUCUGAGAGGAUGAUCAGUCAUACUGGAACUGAGACACGGUCCAGACUCCUACGGGAGGCAGCAGGUGGGAAUAUUGGACAAUGGGCGAAAGCCUGAUCCAGCCAUGCCGCGUGUGUGAAGAAGGUCUUCGGAUUGUAAAGCAACUUUAAGGUUGGAAGGAAGGCUAAUUUAACCCUAAGUUACGUUGGUGUUACGUUGUAACGUUACCGACAGAAAUAACGCAACCGGCUAAACUCUAGU